UUUCCUUUCUUUCUUGGCAGGAAACUUUCCUUUGGCCCUACUACGGGCCAGAAAUCCACUACGCUUACUCAGGAUCACACAGAAAAGUGAUCAUUCUCCUGUUCCACCUGCUUUUUCCCAGCAUUUACACUAAUUUUUGUCUGUUUGUUUGAACCAAAACUAAAAUGUCUUCUUAAAGGGAAGGAUGUAGGGUCAGAUUAAGCAAAAGGGAAAAGCCUUAUCAAGUGUUGAGAGCUGGAAUUUUUUUUUUUUUUUUUUUUGGCCAAAGAGCCUAUCUUUUUCCUAUUAUCAUGAACUUAAAGAUGGUCAGGGCCGUCAUUGCUGACUUACAAUAUCUAAAGCUAAAAUUCGUAGACAGUCUUCAAACUUCAUUUCAUUUAAUUUCAGUCUCCUCCAAGCUAAACCAGAGCUAUUUACAGGUAGCCCAAUGCUCAGAUCUGAGCAGCGCCUCCAUCUUCUGCUGUGCCCAUUUUGGCGAGGGGAAGGUGUAAAUAACAAACUCAAGCUCCAAGAGCAGACAAAGAAGUUUUAAAGGACUGGCCGCCAAGUCCUGUAAAACUGGCUUGUCCUGCAGUUAGCCAGCCAGUCGGGAUAUUAUUAGGUAUUAUUCAUUCAUCGCUCUUCUAUUUUGUGCUCAGCCCUGUGCUGCGAGUUUGGAGCUGGAAUCGCAGCGUGAACCACGUCCUGGCUCCGCGCCUUCAUCUCUGGUUGCAGCCCUCUCGGUUUCACCAACUUCAUUAUUCAAAUACAGGCGCUGCGCUUCCGCCAAGUAAACCUGCCAGGACCAGCUCCUCUUGCUCCUCUUCUUCUUCCUGGUGUAUAAUUCUCUGCCUUCAAAUCCCUGCUUCACACCCACCUCGCUGCCCUGAAUUUCCUAACUCAGCCAGCCAAGCACAAAUCCCUCUAAGUCCCUCAGCGCCUUCCUCCCAAAUCCGCACUUGCCCAACAGUCUGUCUAGGCACUAGCUGUGACAUCGCCCUGGAUACCUGAUCAGUCCUCUGCUUUGUCCCCCUGUGCCUUUGCUUAGGCUGCACCCUCCCUUCAGACCGCUUCUCCUCUCAUCUCUCCCUGUGGAAAUCUUGGCCUCAAAAGCCUAUCAGAUGCAGUUUCUUCACUGAAACCCUUCUCCUAGUCUCUUCCACUCACACUUCAUCUUCCAGUCCUUCGAAACACCAUGGCCACUUUUUUCCGACCUCUCCUUCAGAACUUUCCAUCUUCUACUUAGAGUUGUCUUUACUGUACCCUUGGUCCCAGCUGCAGCUCAGAGGAGGUGUUUUGCCAGCCUCCUGUAUUCCACACGAGCUUCUCUGCAGAAUUGCCGCAAAAAAAUAGGUAUGAUUACAUAUAGACUGCAUUUACUAUGCAAACACAGCCUCAAGACAGUCCCCCUUCCCGGUGCCCUUUGCAACCCAGUUGCCAACCGAAAAUUCCUCCUUUAUAGAAAAUCUGAAACCAGAUCCUCCCUACUUUAUCUUAAGUGAUUCGGGCCCAGAGCUGUAUCUUCCUCAUCUUUCUAUUUCCCACUUACUGUAACUGUCUUGCAGCCAGUAGGCGCUAAAGAAAUACCUGUUGAAUGGUUGCAUAAUGAAGCCCAGAAAACCUGAAAGAUGUCUAUAAUUCGCCAGGUUUUCAAACUGUAUGUGUAGAGAAGAAUGAAGUUUUCUGUGAAUAUUUUAAAUUAGAUAAUGAGAUCACAAAGAAGUUCAGUUAAAUAUUAUUUAUCAAUCAAGAGAACCUAGGUGAUGGUAUAGUAAAAAAGAACCCCCAAAUCUUAGUGGUUUAAAGCAACAAAACUUUAGUUCUUGCUCAUGUUUUUUGUGGGUGGGUAGGGAGAAGAGAUUCUUCUACUUAUUGCUACUCAGGGACCCAUUCUCACAAAACCAGCCACAAUCUCACACUGCUGGUUAUGCUGAAGGAGAGAGAGCUCCACAGGGUCUAACAUCAGCAAUUUAAUGUCCCUGCCCAGAAAUGGUUCCCAUCACUCUGCUCACAACUGUUUUUUAUUUUUUUAUUUUGAGACAGAGUCUCGCUCUGUUGCCAGGCUGGAGUGCAGUAGCGU